UACGUAGGGGGCAAGCGUUGUCCGGAUUUAUUGGGCGUAAAGCGCGUGUAGGCGGCCAUGUAGGUCUGACGUGAAAUUCCGAGGCUCAACCUCGGCAGGUCGUUGGAAACCAUAUGGCUAGAGUCCGGAAGAGGAGAGUGGAAUUCCUGGUGUAGCGGUGAAAUGCGCAGAUAUCAGGAAGAACACCAAUGGCGAAGGCAGGUCUCUGGCGUGACACGUGACG
rnacentral:rRNA from 1 species